CAUUGUUGUACUAUUGACGUCUAUAUGAUCAUGAUAAAAUGUUGGAUGUUGGAUGCAGAAAGUCGGCCAUCUUUCUUGGAGUUGCAGGAAGAAUUUUCAAAGAUGGCACGAGAUCCUGGUCGAUAUCUCGUCAUUCAGGGUGACGUUCUAAAACGCCUAUCAGGAGUGUCCAAUGGGGCGGAAGCGGAAAAUAAUGCGCAAAAUUCUGCUGAUACUUCUCUUCAGGGAGACAAACUGAUCAUACGACAAACAUGAUCUGAUGAGGAGCAUGAGCGUGGCCAUCGACGGACCGGAAGAGGUCGUUGAAGCAGAUGAUUAUUUACAACCGCAUUUGAACUCGGACGAGUCUCACGAUAAUAAUAAC